rnacentral:rRNA from 1 species
AAGUCGUAACAAGGUUUCCGUAGGUGAACCUGCGGAAGGAUCAUUAUCGAGUUCCUGCCCCCCGGGGUAGAUCUCCCACCCUAGCUUAUCCAACUUUGUUGCUUUGGCGGGCCGUCCGUUCGGCCACCGGCCCCCCGGCUGGUGCGUGCCCGUCAGAGACCCACACACGCUCUUGAUUGUGUUGUCUGAGUCCUUAUAUAAUCGUUAAAGCUUUCAACAACGGAUCUCUUGGUUCUGGCAUCGAUGAAGAACGCAGCGAAAUGCGAUAAGUAAUGUGAAUUGCAGAAUUCAGUGAAUCAUCGAAUCUUUGAACGCACAUUGCGCCCCUUGGUAUUCCGAGGGGCAUGCCUGUCCGAGCGUCAUACAACCAAUCCCCUCGGGGGUAUUGGACCCGGCCGGCGACGGCCGGNCCUAAACCCAGUGGCGACAUCGCACGCACUCGAGCGUAGUAGCUUUAUCUCGCUUGGAGGCGCGUGCGAUCUUGACCAGCAAACCUCACAUACGUGUUUAUAGGUGGACCUCGGAUCAGGUAGGAAUANCCGCUGAACUUAAGCAUAUCAAUAAGCGGAGGAAAAGAAACCAACAGGGAUUGCCUCAGUAACGGCGAGUGAAGCGGCAACAGCUCAAAUUUGAAAUCUGGCUCCUCUACGGGGUCCGAAUUGUAAUUUGCAGAAGAUGCUUCGGGCGUGGUGCCGGUCCAAGUUCCUUGGAAUAGGAUGCCACCGAGGGUGAGAGCCCCGUACGAUCGCGCGCCUAUGCCCGCACGAAGCUCUUUCGACGAGUCGAGUUGUUUGGGAAUGCAGCUCAAAAUGGGUGGUAAAUCUCAUCUAAAGCUAAAUACCUGCCAGAGACCGAUAGCGCACAAGUAGAGUGAUCGAAAGAUGAAAAGCACUUUGGAAAGAGAGUUAAACAGUACGUGAAAUUGUUGAAAGGGAAGCGCUGGCCACCAGACUUGCGCGCGGGCGAUCAUCCGGGGUUCUCUCCGGUGCACUCGCUCGCGCUCAGGCCAGCAUCGGUUUCGGUGGUUGGAUAAAGGUCGCGGGAACGUGGCUCCUCUCGGGGAGUGUUAUAGCCCGCGGCGACAUGCAGCCCACCGGGAUCGAGGACCGCGCUUCGGCUAGGAUGCUGGCGUAAUGGUGGUCAGCGACC